ACGUAGGGGGCAAGCGUUGUACGGAAUUACUGGGCGUAAAGCGAACGCAGGCGGUUCGUUAAGCUGGAUGUGAAAGAUCGGGGCUCAAACCCGGUUUGCGUUCGAUACUGGUGGAAGGGAGUAUCAAAGGGAGAAGUGGAAUUCCCUUUGUGAUGGUAGAAUGCGAAGACAUCACGAGGAUCACCAGGAGCAAGGUCAGUUUCCUGACCGACAACUCACUCUCGUCUGCAAGAGGUUUUAAAAUAAUUGU
rnacentral:rRNA from 1 species